GAAAUUUGGGUGCAGACAGGCACACAAGGAGAACACCAUGUCAACACGAAGGCAGAAGUUGGAGUGAUGAGUCUACAAGCCAAGGAUUGCCAGCAAUUCAUCAGACGCCAGGACAGCAGCCUGGGGCAGCCCCCUACAUGGUACCAACUCCAUCAACACCUUGAUCUCAGACUUCCAACCUCCAGAACUGUCCAGCCCUCCAUGAAUGAGGAACUUCCUGGGGCCACUAGUGCAUGCUGCAGCUCACACAGUCAACUCCAUCCACACCUCCACAAACAGCUGCCCUUUGGCCACUACUCAGGCAUAAGGACACACCCAGCAGGGUAUGCCCUCUGGAGGUCAGACCAGGGAAGAAGCCCUUGCACAGUCAGGAGCCAGCUCAGCACCUGUGAUGCUGAAUUUUAUGUGGCAACUUGACUGGACGCAGGUGCUCGGAUUAAACCUGAUUUCUGGGUAUGUCUGUGAGGGUAUUUCCAGAGGAGAUUAGAAUUUGAAUCCGUGGAUUGGCAAAGUUGGUGUCUGCCCCAGUGUGGGUGGUCACCAUCUACUCUCCUGAGGGCCUGAAGAGAACAAAAGGCAAAGGAAGGAGGAAUUCGCCCUUAACUUGCUUGCCGCCUGCCUGCUUGAGCAGAGACAUUUCAUCACAUCUUCUCUGGCCCUCGACUGAGAUUCACACCAUUGGCUUCCCUGGUUCUCAGGCAUUUUGACUUGGACUGAACUACACCAUUGGCUUUCCUGGGCUCCAGCUUGCACAUAGCAGAUUGUGGGAUUUCUCAGCCUCUAUUAUUACAGGCGCCAGUUCUUCAAAAUCAACCUCUCUCUCUCUGUCUCUCUCUCUCUCCCCAGAUCACAGUCUGGAAGUCUGCUCACAGUCUCAAGGUUGGCAUAUCCCCUAGAGCCCCCAGACUCCUCAUCCCAUGGAGACCAACAUGGCCAGGGGAGGGCCAGAGCAGGGCCUUCUAAAUCACAGACCCCAGGGCAGGAGCCCCUCCGGUCUGGAUCUCAGGAUGGUAUUUUCAACAAUUCCUAAAUUUUUAUCCUAGGCUCUCCAAAUGGGAGUCUAAAGGUCUCAAAACAUGGUCCAGAAGAAGUAUGUAAAAAUGUAAAUUCCUAGGCCCCAACCCAGACCUAUGAAUCAGAUGAUCUGUAUGGGGGUUCCAGGAAUCUAUAUUAUUAAACAAUCUUCCUAAAUGACUUGUAUUCAUACUAAAGCUUGAGAAUUGCUAUCAAACAGCUAGAAGUUGGAGUGAAGGGUCCUGCCUUUCCCAUGAAAUUCAUCAACUCUAUGCCCUCAAAAGCUGGGCUCUUGGAUGAGCUGCUCUCCAUUCUAGAGACAUUACCAGCUAGGUAGCCUGCUGGUCCUCAGGAAGUUAAGCCCAGACUCUUCAGCACAGAAUCAGAUAAACACUGAUUACAUUGUACUCUCCAAUUCUGAGAACACCAUUACUUAAUUCCCGGCAAGUUGCAAUGUAAUUGAGUAGGUUGUAGUUUUUUGGGUUUGGGGUUUUUUUGUUUUUUAAAUAUAUCAGGCAUAGUUAGCCAGCUUCCUAGAAACACCAUGAUCUCUUGGUGAAAAUUCCAGAAACAUGCAUCACUUCCUAAUUAAAGUAGGGAAUUUUUAAAAAUUAUUAAACCACAUGCUUUCUAAUUCCUGUUGCCCUUUCUUUUCACCCACCAUUCAGCAGUCAGCAGACACUUUCUGGGUACAACAGGGUAGGACCAUCCAGGCAGAACAAAAGCCAUUGAUCAUGAACUACAGAGGAGAGUUUGGUAAGUGGACACCAGAAACCAUGGCCUACAGGGGCCUGGUUUUCUCCCAUCUAAAUACUAACUAGGCCCAACCCUAGUUGGGCUUAGCUUCCUAGAUCAGAUGAAAUUGGGCACAUUUAGGGUUGGGGGUAUGGCUCUCUAUUGUAAGUAGCAAGAGUUUGAGAGAAGAAAAAAGGGAUUUUCUUUUUUUUUUUCUUUUAAAUUUUAGAGCAUUAACUUUAAACAUCAAAAUCCAAACCCCAAGGAUUCGGAGAAUCUUGUACUAUAAACCAUUUGUAUUAGUCAGGGUUCUCCAGAGAAACAGAACCCAUAGGAGGUAUAGAGAUAGAGAAAUAUGGAAUUGGCUCCCAUGAUUAUCGAGGCUGAGAAGUCCCUCAAUCUGCUGUCUGUGAGCUGGAGACCUAGGAAAGCUGGUGGUACAAAUCAGCCCAAGUGCAAAGGCCCAAGAACUAAGAGCACCAUUGUCAGAGAGCAGGAAAAGACAGAUGUCCCAGCUCAAAAAGAGAGAGCAAAUUCACCUUCCUUCCACCAUUUUGUUCCAUCCUGUUCCAUUCCUCAACGGGUUGGAUGAUGAGGGAGAUCUUUACCCAAUCUCAAGUUUUUUGUGCAAAUACGGAAUACAAAUGAAAAAUACCUAAAGCACAUCAUCAUUGAUUUCCAACUUAGACUAGUUUAACUUCCCUUUUUCUUCUAUCCUGUCAGUUCCUUGAGGGAUCCUCUCUCCUUGUUCAUCUCUGCAUCUCUAGUAAUUAGCACAGUGCCAGGCACAUGGUAAUAUGGCUAAAACAGUGGAUUAUUGGUCUCCAACAUAAUUAAGCCCAUCCAAAAGAAAAACCAACCUCAUAAAUCUGCUUUGCAAAGUUCAUAAACAAUGGAUAUGCUAUGUCUCAAAGGUGCUGGCCAAGAAAAUUUAAGAACUUGGGAAUUAUGUGUUAUUUUGUUUUUUUUUUUUCACCAAGUCUAGUUUUCUGUCACAAGAGCCCAUAUCAACAACACACCCACGCAUGUCCUUCUUUUUAUCUACUUUUCUCCAUGAAGUUUGUCACCAUCAACUGUUAAAACUGUAAAGAUUUGAUCAGCUAAAUAAGCGGUUUUCGAACUAAUUCCUCUCGUACUUCCUAAAGGAACUUUGAAAAACUAUGUAUCCCCUUGCACAUUUUCAAGCAGACACCUAAGAUUUUUCAUCAUAAAUUUGAAUAACUUCAAAAUAUGUACUUUUUAGCAUAUUGUAAAUAUUGAUUUUUAAAUAAAAUAUAUCACACUUUGUAUCUAAUGAA
rnacentral:lncRNA from 1 species